UACAGAGGUCUCAAGCGUUGUUCGGAUUCAUUGGGCGUAAAGGGCGCGUAGGCGGCGGGGUAAGUCGGGUGUGAAAUCUCAGAGCUCAACUCUGAAAUGGCACUUGAUACUGCUCUGCUAGAGGACUGGAGAGGAGAUUGGAAUUCACGGUGUAGCAGUGAAAUGCGUAGAUAUCGUGAGGAAGACCGGUGGCGAAGGCGGCUCUCUGGACAGUUCCUGACACUGAGGCACGAAGGCCAGGGGAGCAAACGGG
rnacentral:rRNA from 1 species